rnacentral:tRNA from 2 species
CAUUAAGAAGCUUUCAAACUAAGCAAUAGCCUUUUAAGCUAUAGAUCGGUGAUUUACCACACCCUUAAUGA